UAGUUGAGUAAACUCUUUGCUAUCGCACAAAAGGCAUCUGAAGCGUUGAACCUAAUAAACAAAAUCAUGAAAAUAUUUAUCAUUAUGGGAAUUAUCUAUUUGUAUAAUUUUACAAAUAUCCCAUUUACACUUUGAAGCAGGGAGUCUAUGCAUGAGAUUUGAACCACGUGGGCUUAUUUGAUCCCAGAUAUGGUUUUAAUCUAUUAUGGUGAAUAAUAUCCCCCUUAUGCUUUGCAUGUUUCCCUAUUCUGUAAAGAACAUCAUUUAUUCUUUGUAAAAUAAUGUAGGGUCCCUUCCAUUUAAGGGAUAACUUUUUGUGGAGUCCCAUAUUUUGAUUUGGGAAAAAGACCCAUACAGCAUCUCCUGGGUUAUAGAGAUUUUGGUGAAUUUUUGCAUUGUAAUCCCGUAACAUAUUAUCAAAAGAAAUGCUCAAUUUAUUUCGGGCAAAAUCAUGUAUUUUGUUUAGCUUUUCUGAUAGAUUUUGGGCGUAUUCAGAACUUAAUUUUGAUUCAUAUUUUUCAGGGUCUACUCUGCCGAGUACUAAAUCUACUGGGAGUGUGACUGAUCGCCCAAAUACCAUUUCACAAGGGCUUACCCCUGUGGCCUCAUGAGAAGAUGAUCGAUAUGCCAACAUGAGGAUGGCAUCAACCCAUUUGGUGAAGUAAUCUCCCACAACUAGAAGAUAAGAAUUUUUCCUGUGAGUCAUUGGUAAAGGACCUAAUAUAUCCACCGCCCAUCUUUCCAUUGGAGCACCAACCAGGGUUUAUCCCAGUGUUUGGAGAGUUUCCCUGAGACCUUGUAGUAACAGCACAGUUUUCAGAACCACUGGGAGCUGAUGUUUGACUUGACAAAGAUUCACCUUGACAGAUUUCCUCAUGGGAUAAAUUUUCUACUUCUACCGGGACUCUUGGAUUGAAAACAAUCUCUCCCGAAUCUUCUAAAUGACUAUUAUCCCUUGACAUUUUUGCUUUUGGGAGUACUUAUUUAUUCUAUGAUAUAAAGAAUUUAUAUGUUCAAUUAUUUGUCUUAUGUCCAAUCAGAUAAUGGGAAUGAAAAUUUAUGAAUCCCACUUCUGACACCAAUGUUGCCGUUCAGGGGUUUUCUCCCUUGAGACAACUUGUGGGUCUCCCAAUUCUGUAUAUUGGACAAAGAACUAUGAGUCAGGAUUAAAGUUUAUAAAAAUUUA